CGCGUUCCGACUCCGGUCUGGUGUACGGGUUGCACUCCGUCUCUCUGGCUAUUUUAUGUGUUCCGAUCUGACAGCCCACAUGCCUCUGCUGUACGCCUCGGCCACAGGACACAGAGCACUAAGAAGACAGAGGACCACCAGUUUGGAUAAUAUCUCAAGGCUUAAUAGGGAAGGAAGGUGGCAUUGAAAAAAAAAUAUCCAUAGCAUUACAGCAGCAAUCCUGUGUGGCAUUUUGGCUCACUCAAGAGUGUGGGUAAAUCCUGAUCAUUGGCGCCAAAAAUAAAGCUCAUGAACCUGAAAUUACCAUGAAGUUCUGAUUUUAGGAAGUCCUACUAUGAAAUAGUGAGAUAUUUCUUCAACAAAAUGCCUUGUGAUUCACUGACUGGGAUAAAGGUGCAUUUCUAAAAUACAACUAUGUUCAAUUUCUUCAUUAAAUGAUUUAAGAAUAAAACUCUUCAACCGUUUUCCAGAGGAUAAGCUCUAGUCCAUUGGGAAGAGGUGAAAAAGGCAUGUUAGAAACUGAAAGGUAAGCUAGCAGGAAAGAGGUGAAGAUAAUACGAGGACCCACUCUGUGCCUGCCAUGGGAUUAUUUAUGAAAGCCAUCUGGAAGACAGGGAGGGCAGUGGGUGAGAGAUUUGUUCCAGAGAUUCACGGUCUGGUGAGACAAGUUUGAGACCUCGUAUUUUCAGCUCAUCCUUGAAAACCUUGCUUGGAUUUGACUGACCUUGAUGGCUCCCUGGAAUCUCACCUACAUUUUAUGGAAAAUUCAACUCUCCAGAGAGAAGAGCUUUCAGAGUGCUACGGGACUUGCAACUAUGACUUUCAACUUUCACUUUUGAAUGAGGCUCCAAGUGUCUCAAUGGUGGCACUAUUUCCAGAUUUGGGGGGUCUCGGAUAUGUUAUGUCUGAUUCAAAGACAACCAAAAAGAAGGAAAUAAUGAUUUCACCAAGAAAGGACACAUACCAAGGCAGGAAUAGAGCCCUGCAAAGCUAAUCUGCUCAACCUUCACCUACUGGGUUCAAUGAAUAUGAAAAGCUGCCUUCCUGAAACUUUUCCUUCAAAGAGGGAAUGAUCUCUUGGAAUUCAAGCUUCUACAAGGUGGCUACCUGGUGUUUUCCACUUUUGCCUUCUCCUAAAAAGCAUCAAUCAAGCCUUGCCCUUUCAACCCACUGAACACAUAAACAUGCUUUCUCCUUAACUGAACUUAUGGCCACGAUGAACUUGAACUCUGAGAUGCACAAGAGGAGAGUUUGUUUUAACAGCUGCUUUUACAAUGAAGCCCUGGAGUUACUACUCUCAAGACCCCUGGUUCUGAUAGGCCGUCUUUUCACUGUCCUCUGCAUUUUCAAAUGCCCAGCUGUCAGGGAACACCCACUGAAGUUUUCCAAAACAAAAGCAUGAAACACAAGAAAGACAAGAGAAUGCUAAUCACUGGAUACAUGGGUGUCUUAUGGGGGGACCCCUUACAUGUGGAAUAGGGUUUUUCUCCCCAAUUUAUUUUUAUAAAUUUAUUGAUUUCUUUGCUAGUUUAUUAUUAAUUGUUAGAGAUGUCCUGUUGCCUGAGAUUGCCCUGUCCAAUAUGGUAGCCACCAGCAACAGGUAGCUAUUUAGAGCAAUUAAAAUUACAUUAAAAAUACAGUUUCCUUGUCACUUAACCAUGUUUCAAGUGCUCAGUAUUUAACCACAUGUGGCUAGUGGCUUCCAUAAAGGAAGGCAAAAAUAGAGAACAUUUACAUCGUGGCAGAAAGCUACUAGAUUCUUUUGGCCAAGGCAUAAGUCUUUCUCAUAGGAGAAAGGGGAUGCAGAUCUUGCUAAGAGUGAUGGAUUUCUGGGUUCAGCCUACAUGAGUCAUCUUCCAUACCACUCCUGGACAUGCUUUCCUUGGCUGCCAAUUUUCUGUUUUAUACAUUUCAGCAAAGAGAGGUUAUGAUCAUUAAAAACAUUCAUGACAAUAAUCCCACUUUAGAGAAAACAACAGCAACAAGCAAAGAAGAUGGUGUGGAGAUCCACACAUUCUACAUCUUUUAAUUGGUACCCAUUAAAUAACAAAGAGAAAAAGUACCCUCAGACCACAACUCUCCACCUUGUGUGGAGGCCAAGAACCCAGUAGGGAGAAGGCUGAAGGUUAGGUUCUCCACUCAUCCUGGCUCUUAGACCACUGAACUCACAUUUGGGUUCUAAUGGAAUGGUGAUUGGAAGCAUAUUCUCUGACAGGAGGUUUUUAAAAGUUCCAUGCCAUCAGCCAGGCAGCGUCUGUCACUUAAAAUGACUGGCCAGUUGCACAUUUAAAAGCAAAGAUAAAAUUGCUAAUUUAUACUUACUGAAUAAAUGUUAUCAGUAUCCAGGAAGGUACCUACCCUAAUAACAAGUUGUAGUUUUAUUUCUAUGGUGGUGGUGAAGCUGCCAGGAAAAUCAAAGUAUCAGUUCUUUAAUUACAUGUGUUUAGUAUUCAUUUAAUACUAAAAUUUCUCUUGCUCCCUUAGAACGAAGAGCUCUAACUUGUUCACUGCUGUAUCCUUAGCACCUAGAACAGUCCCUGGCCUACAGUAGGCACUUAGAAAGUAUUUGUUGAAAGUUGAAUGACUGUUUUAUUUUAUUUUUUUAAAGAAACGACUCAGAGUUUUUUUAAUCCUCCCCCAACCCCCAACCCCUGGUAUUAAAAUAAAUCUUCUUCAACUGCUAUCACUAAUCGCCAGGAUUCCCUCCUAGCCAAUUAUGCUUGGACUCAACCUCUACCUCCCACUCCACAUUCCAAAGUUUCUAUUUCUUUCCAUUCCAGAAGGGCAACUCCACAACAGGAGUGAGGGAGAGGACCUGGACUCCUCCUCAGAGUCCAAUAACCCUCCUAACCCUGCUCCCCCCACCCAUGGACUUUUUAGAUCCAUGAAAAUAGAAUCUGUCAAGCUACCACGAAAUAGCAUCAGAGGGCAGGAUCAGCCUUUCAUAGGCAUAUAAUCUCUGUAAAUACUGAAAAAAGAUUAUUAAAAGCCUAAGUUUUGUCUCCAGUGAAAUAGAUGCAGGCAAGUAUUUUGAUUGUUCUGAACACAUUAGAGAUGAGUGCUACACAGAACUAAGGUAAACUUUGUAAAUUCAUAUGUCAUAACACUUUGUUCCACAAAAAACUAUCUUAUUUUUUAUACUCCAUACUGAUACAGCCAAAUAAUGUGGCUCUUGUUUUUAAAGAUGCUAGCAAUAUGUUUAAACAUGUCUUCACGGUAGUAAAAAUAUCAUAUUUUAUAAAAAAUACACAUGCAUUUAAUGUGAUAUUCCUUAUAGUCAAAAUCUUGAUGUCAUCCUCCUAAUCUGGCUAAAAAUGCAUCCGUAAAAUCAAAGAAAGGAAUAUUUUGCCAUUCCCUAAACAACAGUUGUUUGAAGCUUUUGUAAUUGCUGGUUAUGGGAAUUUACCAAUAACAGGAAUGAAUUUGGAUUUUCUUUUGCCGGAAUCAAAUGGACAAUGUCACAAUUAGUUAAAUAAUGUUGAGGCUAAAUGAAGUUUGAGUUUUAGGCACAUCUUUUAUAGAAUAUAAACAGGAGCCUAAAAGUUCAUUCUGAACACAGGUUGUUUCUUUCUGCCAAAACAAGAUUAAUAGUCAGUACCCCACCAAGGAGAUCCUAUCACUGAAGUAGAUUAUCUGCUAGUCAAAUGGGUUCCUAACAGCACCUCCCUCAUAGAUUAAAACCAGGUUAAUGUGAUGUGUAUUUGCUUACUUUAGCUUGUUACACAGUAAACACACAGCAAACGCUAGCUAUUGUUAUCUUCGUUUCCUUUGGAGAAGUUUUCUUAUUUCUCACCUUAUUAAAAAUAAAGUCUGACUCAUAUAGGGACCCUCCUUACCUUGGUCCUUUCACCCAUGAAUACCAUAAUAACCUAUACUGCAAAAAGGAGGCUCAGGAGGAGGAUGAGGUAUCAAUAGGCCUCUGGGUCAUUUCUAUGAUUUAGAUUUUUUUGAAAACGGUAGGCUCUCUUGAAACUUCCAAGGUAGUUGCUGUAGUAUUUUAUUUUCCUUUAAUAAGAAAUGCUUUCUGAAAUGUAUUGCAGUGAACAAAUAACAAAAUUGACAAAUGCCGUAAGCCUUUUAUAGUUAUCUGAACACACAGAAUAAAGUGUAAUCAAAUUUAUGCACAUUAGGUUUGCUUUUUCCUGUACCUAGCUGUCUCUUAUGUGUUCAGAACCAUUUCUUCCAAUCACCUUUUUUUGUCUUCUGGCUAUAUUUUAUCAUUAUCUACAAAUUUAAUAAAUGGAGCAUGCA